GCUUACGGCCACAGCCUGGUUCACACCGAUCUCGUUUGAUCUCGGAAGCUAAGAUAGGUUGGGCCUGGUUAGUACUUUGGAUGGGAGACCGCCUAGGAAUACCAGGUGCUGUAAACG
rnacentral:rRNA from 1 species